UACGAAGGGUGCAAGCGUUAAUCGGAAUUAUUGGGCGUAAAGGGCUCGUAGGCGGUUUGUUGCGUCGGGAGUGAAAACCAGGUGCUUAACACCUGGCCUGCUUUCGAUACGGGCAGACUAGAGGCAUUCAGGGGAGAACGGAAUUCCUGGUGUAGCGGUGAAAUGCGCAGAUAUCAGGAGGAACACCGGUGGCGAAGGCGGUUCUCUGGGAAUGUUCUGACGCUGAGGAGCGAAAGUGUGGGGAGCGAACAGG
rnacentral:rRNA from 1 species